rnacentral:rRNA from 1 species
UACGGAGGAUGCAAGCGUUAUCCGGAAUGAUUGGGCGUAAAGCGUCCGCAGGUGGCUAUGUAAGUCUGCUGUUAAAGAGUCUAGCUCAACUAGAUAAGAGCAGUGGAAACUACAAGGCUAGAGUACGUUCGGGGCAGAGGGAAUUCCUGGUGUAGCGGUGAAAUGCGUAGAGAUCAGGAAGAACACCAGUGGCGAAGGCGCUCUGCUAGGCCGUAACUGACACUGAGGCGCGAAAGCGUGGGGAGCAAACGGG